rnacentral:rRNA from 1 species
GGCUUACCAUGCAGCCGAGGGGUAACAGAGGGCUUCGGCCCUGCUGACGACCGGCGGACGGGUGAGUAACACGUAUGGCACCUGCCUCUUGCAGGAGGAUAGCCCGGGGAAACCCGGAUUAAUACUCCAUAGGAUAUAACUGCUACAUAGCAGAUGUAUAAAAGCAUUAGCGGCAAGAGAUGGCCAUGCGGGAUAUUAGGUAGUUGGUAGAGUAACGGCCUACCAAGCCAACGAUGUCUAUGGGUUCUAGAAGGAAGGUCCCACACACUGGUACUGAGACACGGGCCCGACUCCUACGGGAGGCAGCAGUAGGGAAUAUUGGGCAAUGGGGGAAACCCUGACCCAGCGACACCGCGUGGAUGAAGAAGGCUUUCGGGUCGUAAAAUCCUAACACAUAUUAAGAAAGCUUGCGGGUUAACAACCGGUAAGCAUGACGAAGGUAUGAGAUGAAGCCAUGGCUAACUCUGUGCCAGCAGCCGCGGUAAUACAGAGAUGGCAACCGUUGUUCGGAAUUACUGGGCUUAAAGAGCACGUAGGCGGAGCGUUAAGUCAGCUGUGAAAUCCCACGGCUUACCCGUGGAUGGGCAGCUGAAACUGGCGUUCUUGAGGCCGGUAGGGGAGAGUGGAAUUCCUGGUGGAGCGGUGAAAUGCGUUGAUAUCAGGAGGAACGUCGGAGGCGUAGGCGACUCUCUGGGCCGGACCUGACGCUGAGGUGCGAAAGCCAGGGGAGCAAACGGGAUUAGAUACCCCGGUAGUCCUGGCCGUAAACGAUGGGUACUAAGUAGAGGGGGUCAUUCCUCUCUGCCGGACCAAAAGUAUUANGUACCCCGCCUGGGGGAGUAUGGUCGCAAGGCUGAACUCAANGGAAUUGACGGGGGCUCGCACAAGCGGGGANCAUGUGGUUUAAUUCGANCAACCCGAANAANCUUACCUGGACUUGACAUUCCGGG